GCCAGACUUCUCGAAGUUCGAGUUGCUGUCUCUUCUCUGCUCCAGUCUUUCCCCAGGCCCUGUCUCUCAUCAUAUGAUCCUUUCAACUUCGCCAUGGGCUUGGGCUGAUAGUGAGGAGAACCCUUGCCUUAGAUGAUGCAUUAAGUUGGAGCACCAUUGGAAGGUCUGUCAUCAGUGGAAGCAGAGGGCAACUGCCAUCUCUGGCCCUUCUGUCUGAUCUUCUGGGUCUAGCAUCACAGUUUAUUCCAGGGCAGGUGCCGGCAGGUGUUUCAUGAGGCUGGAGUGACACUGGAAGCCCUGGUCACAGUCAGCCCAUCGGAAGGUGUCCUCAGAGGAUAGCAUCAGCAAGGGCUUUGCCACAGGUGAGCUCUGGCUGAAGCGGUGGCUGCAGAGAUGACAGAUCCAAGAAGGUUUAGCACACCAAGUCUUCUCGGAGAUAUCCUCAAAGAAUCUUUGCCUCUAAGGACUCGGUGUUGCAAAGCGAAGAAGAAAAGGGAUCCAAGAUCUAAUGGUACAUCGCAAUAUUUGAUUAGCGCCCCUAGCCAACUGAUAAACACAGAUUCCAUGCCCUGAAAUCCUACAGGAGCACACCCAAAGACUUCCAGGGGCCUUUUUGCCACAUAAUUGUUGACCAUUUGGGCCUGAAUUUCAAGAGGACACAUUAGUUAGCGGCAGGGGGUUGGUGUGUGGCCGGUGAUGGGGCUUGGCCCCGUGACAACUUGGAAGACUUGCCACUGAUUUAGAAAGAACAGCAACCCGUGUUCUGAAGAGAGAGGGGGUGGGAGGACAGAGCUCUCUUCAGAACACUAAUGAGAAUAAGAUGAAACCACUUCAAAAAGAGGCCCAGUCAGUGGCAGAGAAGGGUGGCUGUCCAUGUGGUUGGCUGAUGGUUGACAUCUCCACAGGGUCAUGCCCCGUAUCUAGAGCAGACUGACAGGGAUCAGUGGGGGGGAUCCCUUUGAGUGUCCAGGCAGCUGUCACCAGAACCCCCAUGCAAACACAAAUGUGUUUUUGUUUAGUUGUCCAGGUUUCUCAGCGUUUCCAUCUGAGGCUCCAUGAGGCUUCAGUAGUCACAGAAGAUGCAGAAUUUUGUGUAUGUUGGAUGUGAGAUGUAAGUAAGGAGAGCAGACAUUUCCUAUAACGAUUAGAAAAUCUGAGGAAACAUGGUGGCUUUAGGAAUGGCAUGUGGGGGGGACAAUGGAGCUAGCCUUGGCUAUAUAUCUGAAUGAGGGUAACCUGAAAUGAGGAUGUGUUAUUGUAACUGUCAGGCUUCCUACUUUCUCAUUUCACAACAAGGUAGUAGUGAGGUGGAGGCCACUGGGUUAAAUGUCCUCUACUCAUGAUCCAGAGAGACCUUAGGAGAUUUUGCAAAGCCACUGAAGUAGAUUGUAAUAUGCUGUACCUUCUUUAGAAAGACCCUUUCCACCACAGAAGAGGUUUACCGAUUUUAUCACUUUUCCACGAAUGGUCACUGGCUGCCCAAAUAUCAAGAGCUCCUGGAUUAGAUUGAUAAACAUCUCUGCCUCUCACAA